AAUAAUAAAAUGGAAAAAAAAAAUUGUGUUUUUAAAAAGUAUUUGAUGUUUCACUUGAUAAAAACUUAAUUUAUGAUAUAUCAAAUGAAUAAAGGGCAGACAACUAUUGCUGGUCCAUUUAAGGUUUGGACCAUUAAACAAGGGAGGUAAGCCAUGUUUUGUAUCCAUUACUUGUCGGCUGGAAAGCACAUGCAAUAGUUUUACGAUACCCGUUGGUAUAAAUGUGGGUUCGAGGUUUGUUUGAUAUACAGUAUAAAUUUUUUUUUUUUUUAAAGUAAUCCAAGAUGUUUACAUUUAGAUGAACAAACCCGAUUCUUUAUUUUGUUUUUAAAUAUAAAGAUGCUUUUUGAAGGAUCAACAUUUAAGAAGAAUGUUUAGACCAUUCAUCUGACACAUUUAGCUUAUGGUUAAUAUCAUAGUCUAUGCCAGCGGCAUUUGAGGAGGAAUUUUGUUUAGAAUUGUCAUCUGCACGUAAUCUACAUACAUGUAGUGCCAAGUUUCUGAAACAUCAUUUACUUAUAUUAAACAUGUAUUAGAAAUAACAAAGGAGAAAUCAUGGAACCUUGGAAGGAUCUCAGCGUUAAUGGAUUCGCUAGAGGAGAAAACAUCUAUAUAAAACAUAACUUUCUGACUUACUGUAAAACCGUUAAAAAGACCGCCUGCUAUCCCGUGUGAAUAUAAUAUUCCAAACCCUGUCAAUUGACCUUGAUAGUUGACAAAUCACCAUACAACACGAUUUUCCCCAGCAAUGCUUCACAAUACUGGAAUCCAGCAACUGAUAUCUGGUAAGACACCUGCCUGAUGUCAUUUGAAUGAACAUGAUUAUAGACUUGUUUGAAUAUCAUUAUUUCCAUAAUGUUGCUUACGUAAGUCUAGUGAAAUUUCUCAGAUAGGGUUUUACAGAUGAGCCAACUUUUAGAAACAAAAUUAUCUGACAGCGCAUUAGCUAAUUGACAAUGAUUGGGAAAUGUGUUUUCAUUCAAAGGCAUGUUAAAAAGCAUGCAUAGGAGGUUUUCACUUGUGUUGAGACGUCACCAGCUCUAUGUAAGUGCCUCAAACUUUGACCAAUGCAACAAGACUUGUUUAUUUUGUUAACUCUCGUGACUUUCACCUUUAAUAUCUCUAAUGCGAACAACAGACCAAUCGACGCGGCGCCGGGAUCGGGAAUGGAACCAGUGACUUCCGGUCUCGAAACACUCGGCUAUAGAGACCGGUAAAACGUGUUCGAUAAAUGCUGUCAAUGUCUUCAAUAUCGAUAUGGAGGAUAUGGGAUUUUUUUAAUGUUUCCACUUGUUUUAUAAGAUCUGAAAAUGUCAUAUUAUUAACCAUUUCAGAAUGCCGUGAAUGAUUGGUAUGCCCGAUGAAAGUUUUAACAUGAAUUACGUACUUAAUACAGGUUUCUUUAUUUUACACUUAGGUUACUGGUAUCUAAUAUUUCCAAUAAAAUUAUAGGUGGCGAUAUUUUGUAUAAACAUUUAUAUUUACCACAUAGAUUAAGUGCAUUUGUAUUUUCAUCUUCAUCAUGGAUAUCUCUAUUUUUCACCAUUAAUAAUUCCAGCCAAGUACCUGUAUUUUCUAUCUAUAUCUGACACAGGCAAGCACAUGUAUAUUUUCUAUCUGUAUUAUAUGUGCAUACAAUUUUA